CAGUCGCCGCGGGAAUACGUAGGUCCCGAGCGUUGUCCGGAUUUAUUGGGCGUAAAGGGAGCGCAGGCGGUUUCUUAAGUCUGAUGUGAAAGCCCCCGGCUCAACCGGGGAGGGUCAUUGGAAACUGGGAAACUUGAGUGCAGAAGAGGAGAGUGGAAUUCCACGUGUAGCGGUGAAAUGCGUAGAGAUGUGGAGGAACACCAGUGGCGAAGGCGACUCUCUGGUCUGUAACUGACGCUGAGGAGCGAAAGCGUGGGGAGCGAACAGGAUUAGAUACCCGGGUAGUCCCUGUCUCUUAUAC
rnacentral:rRNA from 1 species